UACGUAGGGCGCAAGCGUUGUCCAGAAUUAUUGGGCGUAAAGAGCUCGUAGGCGGCUUGUCACGUCGAUUGUGAAAGCCCGAGGCUUAACCCCGGGUCUGCAUUCGAUACGGGCUAGCUAGAGUGUGGUAGGGGAGAUCGGAAUUCCUGGUGUAGCGGUGAAAUGCGCAGAUAUCAGGAGGAACACCGGUGGCGAAGGCGGAUCUCUGGGCCAUUACUGACGCUGAGGAGCGAAAGCGUGGGGAGCGAACAGG
rnacentral:rRNA from 1 species